rnacentral:lncRNA from 1 species
CAGCUAUGGGGUCACCACAGCCCCAUAGACAGCUAUGGGGACACCACAACCCCAUGGACAGCUAUGGGGACAUCACAGCCCCAUAGACAGCCAUGGGGACACCGCAGCCCCAUAGACAGCCAUGGGGACACCGUGACCCCAUUGACAGCCAUAGGGACACCGCAGCCCCAUAGACAGCCAUGGGGACACUGUGACCCCAUAGACAGCCAUGGGGACACCACAGCCCCAUAGACAGCCAUGGGGACACCACAGCCCCAUAGACAGCUAUGGGGACAUCACAGCCCCAUAGACAGCCAUGGGGACAUCACAGCCCCAUUUAUGGCCAUGGGAUAACUGUGACCCCAUAGACAGCCAUGGGGACAUCACAGCCCCAUAGGCAGCCAUGGGGACAUCACAGCCCCAUUUAUGGCCAUGGGGACACUGCAACCCCACUGAUGGCUAUGGGGACAUCACAGCCCCAUUGAAAGCCAUGGGGUAACUGUGACCCCAUAGACAGCCAUGGGGACACAUGGGCAGGAAAACAACCCCAUAGCAGCCCCAUAGAUUCACAUACAAUGGGGCCGUGCCAUGGAGGUGAGUGAACAGCUACAGCCCCAGGGCCAGGGAGAGCAGGUUCUCCCUCCUUAACCCUAUUACCCUAAUGAGUGCCCCUAAUUACCCUAAUGAGUGCCCCUAAUUACCCUAAUGAGUGAGUGCCCCUAAUUACCCUAAUUAGUGCCCUGGGGUGCCCUCAUUGCCACGUGGCACCGCCUGCCCCAAAACCGCAGCCAUGGGUCAAUGGGGACGGCUAUGGGUCAAUGGGGACGGCUAUGGGGCAAUGGGGACGGCUAUGGGUCAGUGGGGACGGCUAUGGGGCAAUGGGGACGGCUAUGGGUCAGUGGGAUGGCUAUGGGCAAUGGGGACUAAGCUAUGGGUUCAGUGGGAUGGCUAGUGGGGCGGCUCUAGGGGAUGGCUAUGGGUCAAUUG